AGUGAACGCUGGCGGUAGGCCUAACACAUGCAAGUCGAACGGCAGCACAGAGGAGCUUGCUCCUUGGGUGGCGAGUGGCGGACGGGUGAGGAAUACAUCGGAAUCUACUCUGUCGUGGGGGAUAACGUAGGGAAACUUACGCUAAUACCGCAUACGACCUACGGGUGAAAGCAGGGGACCUUCGGGCCUUGCGCGAUUGAAUGAGCCGAUGUCGGAUUAGCUAGUUGGCGGGGUAAAGGCCCUCCAAGGCGACGAUCCGUAGCUGGUCUGAGAGGAUGAUCAGCCUCACUGGAACUGAGACACAGUCCAGACUCCUACGGGAGGCAGCAGUGGGGAAUAUUGGACAAUGGGCGCAAGCCUGAUCCAGCCAUACCGCGUGGGUGAAGAAGGCCUUCGGGUUGUAAAGCCCUUUUGUUGGGAAAGAAAUCCAGCUGGCUAAUACCCGGUUGGGAUGACGGUACCCAAAGAAUAAGCACCGGCUAACUUCGUGCCAGCCGCCGCCGUAA
rnacentral:rRNA from 1 species